GAGACGUUCGCACUUCCCUUUCAGCACCUUCCCGCGCGCCAGUCAUCUCCUUUGGCGGAGUGUCAACAUUUCUCUCUAUUUCUCUCUAUUUCUCUCUAUUUCUCCCACAUUUUCACACGAGGUAUGCUGAAAUUUCGGACCAAAAGCCAAGCAUUUUAGUGCCCAAAUGGGUCCACCGGGAGUUUCAUAAUAAGUGGAAAGCGGGAUUUUCGAAAGCGUGCACGUCAUCCUCAUCUUUAGUCAAUUCAAUUUGGUUUACGGAAGAAAAAUACUACUCUCGUUUGGAUCAAGUGAGUGGGUUAUUGUUUUUGCUGUCGGGUUGUAUUCUCUUAGGUCCAUUUGUUAGUCAAACCAAAUGGAGAUGAUCUUGCACGAAUUGGGUUAGCCCACAUCAAGCCUUUUGCUCUUCACCCAUGGCUAAAUUUGGGCCUCUUUUCAAGUCUGAUUGCGUUCUCAUGACCAAUCCAAUCUCUUCUGCCUUACACAUGGUUCCCAGCAGUAUCUCUAUAAUAACCCAUGCCAAACCUGAUAUUCACUCUAC